rnacentral:rRNA from 1 species
GACGAACGCUGGCGGCGUGCCUAACACAUGCAAGUCGAACGGAAAGGCCCUGCUUUUGUGGGGUGCUCGAGUGGCGAACGGGUGAGUAACACGUGAGUAACCUGCCCUUGACUUUGGGAUAACUUCAGGAAACUGGGGCUAAUACCGGAUAGGAGCUCCUGCUGCAUGGUGGGGGUUGGAAAGUUUCGGCGGUUGGGGAUGGACUCGCGGCUUAUCAGCUUGUUGGUGGGGUAGUGGCUUACCAAGGGUUUGACGGGUAGCCGGCCUGAGAGGGUGACCGGCGACAAUGGGACUGAGAGACGGCCCAGACGCCUACGGGAGGCAGCAGUGGGGAAUAUUACACAGUGAGCGGGAGCCUGAUACAGCAACGCCGCGUGCGGGAUGACGGCCUUCGGGUUGUGAACCGCUUUCGCCUGUGACGAAGCGUGAGUGACGGUAAUGGGUAAAGAAGCACCGGCUAACUACGUG